rnacentral:rRNA from 1 species
GACGAACGCUGGCGGCGUGCUUAACACAUGCAAGUCGAACGGAAAGGCCUUUUCGGAGGUUCUCGAGUGGCGCACGGGUGAGUAACACGUGGGUGAUCUGCCCUGCACUCUGGGAUAAGCCUGGGAAACUGGGUCUAAUCCCGGAUAGGACCGCACUUUAGUGUGUGUGGUGGAAAGUUUUUUCGGUGUAGGAUGAGCCCGCGGCCUAUCAGCUUGUUGGUGGGGUAAUGGCCUACCAAGGCGGCGACGGGUAGCCGGACUGAGAGGUUGGUCGGCCACAAUGGGACUGAGAUACGGCCCAGACUCCUACGGGGGGCAGCAGGGGGGAAUAUUGCACAAUGGGCGCAAGCCUGAUGCAGCGACGCCGCGGGGGUGAUGACGGCCUUCGGGUUGGAAACACCUUUCGCCAGGGACGAAGCGUUUUGUGACGGUACCUGAAGAAGAAGCACCGGCUAACUACGUG